GGGAGCGAAGCAAUUGGAAGUGGUUCCAAGAAAAGCCUCUAAGCUUCAGUCUAACGAUGACCGUACCGCAAACCGACACAGGUGGGCGAGAUGAGUAUUCUAAGGCGCUUGAGAGAACUCGGGAGAAGGAACUCGGCAAAUUGGUACCGUAACUUCGGGAUAAGGUACGCCCUUGUAGCUUGACCAGCCUGCGCUGGAAGGGUGAAGGGGUUGCAAUAAACUGGUGGCUGCGACUGUUUAAUAAAAACACAGCACUCUGCAAACACGAAAGUGGACGUAUAGGGUGUGACGCCUGCCCGGUGCCGGAAGAUUAAAUGAUGGGGUGCAAGCUCUUGAUUGAAGUCCCGGUAAACGGCGGCCGUAACUAUAACGGUCCUAAGGUAGCGAAAUUCCUUGUCGGGUAAGUUCCGACCUGCACGAAUGGCGUAACGAUGGCCACACUGUCUCCUCCCGAGACUCAGCGAAGUUGAAGUGUUUGUGAUGAUGCAAUCUACCCGCGGCUAGACGGAAAGACCCCAUGAACCUUUACUGUAGCUUUGCAUUGGACUUUGAACCGAUCUGUGUAGGAUAGGUGGGAGGCUAUGAAACCGGAACGCUAGUUUCGGUGGAGCCGUCCUUGAAAUACCACCCUGGUUUGUUUGAGGUUCUAACCUUGGCCCGUGAUCCGGGUCGGGGACAGUGCAUGGUAGGCAGUUUGACUGGGGCGGUCUCCUCCCAAAGCGUAACGGAGGAGUACGAAGGUACGCUAGGUACGGUCGGAAAUCGUGCUGAUAGUGCAAUGGCAUAAGCGUGCUUAACUGCGAGACCGACAAGUCGAGCAGGUGCGAAAGCAGGUCAUAGUGAUCCGGUGGUUCUGUAUGGAAGGGCCAUCGCUCAACGGAUAAAAGGUACUCUGGGGAUAACAGGCUGAUACCGCCCAAGAGUUCAUAUCGACGGCGGUGUUUGGCACCUCGAUGUCGGCUCAUCUCAUCCUGGGGCUGUAGCCGGUCCCAAGGGUAUGGCUGUUCGCCAUUUAAAGAGGUACGUGAGCUGGGUUUAAAACGUCGUGAGACAGUUUGGUCCCUAUCUGCCGUGGGCGUUGGAUAUUUGAAGGGGGCUGCUCCUAG
rnacentral:rRNA from 1 species